GCAAGACUUAACUAGUUCUCGCUCCCCUCCCACUUCUGUUUUAAGGAUGAAUGCCAUGCCCAUGGCGAUGGUGCUAGAUUUGAACCCAACUUAAUGUUGGUCUUUAAAGACCCAGGAAACUGUCUUUUCCCUUUUCUUUCUCUCCCUCCUCUUUCUCCCUGCUUCCUUUCUAAAAUUAAGCUUCUGCUACUUCUCUAGAAAACAAGUCUCACCUGACACUAAAACCUCACUACAGCUUGGCUUCCUAAGCUUUGGAGCUGAAAGUCAGACUGAAUUGCUUAUGCCUGAAGUUCACUACAUCUGCUCCUGGAUGCUGCCUGCUCACUCAGAUGAAACCUGUGCUGUGCGAAGAGAAGUUUCUGCUCUCACUGCCCACUGCGACCCUGGCUGGCCAAACUGGGGGCUGGAGCUGAUGGUCUUUACCCCCAUGGUGCUUAAAGCAAGUUUGCUCCGAGAGCCCUAAGCCACAGCAGCUCAGCAUCCUCAACACUGUCAUUCUCUUGAAGCCUGCCUUUAAGGAAGCUGAAGCCAGGGCCUUUUCAUAGAUCCGGACUUCAUUUCCCUCUGCAUGACAGAGAAGCAAGCCCGCUGGUCCAUGUUCUUUCUAUGCUCUUGGGGAGUUUUGUCACAGUGAUGAUUUUUUUUUUUUUUUGUAUUUCCUAUCACAAGCACCUAAGGGUCACCCAAGUCCACUCUGGCAGAUUAUAGUAACUUCCAAUUUCAGUGUAAAAGGACUUGAUCUUCUCCAGAAGAUUACAACAACUCUAGGAAGGCAUAUUGAGAUGAGAACAUGGUCAAUACCGUAAGUGUUUUCUAUACCAGGCACGCUGCUGCUAAUUGACUCCUUAAUCAACUGAGAGGCCUCAUCUUCAUUAGCACCCUCUUACAGAUGAAAAGAUGAGGCUCUUGUUAAACAACUUGAAGGAGCACACAUCUAAGACAAACAUAGCAUGUGAGAAACACAGCCUGCGUCUCAAGAGCAAGAAGCAUUAUCGAAGCAGCAGCCUGAACAAGUGGAACCAAUCCUACAAAACUGCAAGGAUAUACUGAAGCUCAAAGACCUGAAGUGAUUCAUCUAAAGUCACAUAGCUACUAAGUGAAGGACCUGGGAUUUGAACGCAGAUCUGCUUGGCUAUCACUCCAUAUUGCCUUUAAAGGAGAUGAUGUCGAGGGGGACCAUGUGAAGACACAGGGAAGAUGACAGACCAU